CAACCCCGUCAGCAUGUUAGAUAAAGGAUUUAAGUUAUAUGCUGCAUCAUAUAUACACAACUACGAAGAUUAAGCUUCUGGAUUCAUCGCCGGUGGUACUGACACAUAGCCAGUGCUCCUGUGUGGCAGGUGCUGUUAUGUGCAAUCACACAGUGGCACUGCUCUUCCAAACAGCACACUACUCACAACUCAGAGUGCCGGUUGUCCCCCUGUGCAUAGCUGCACCGAAUCUGAACAGCAAUGGCACAAGCCACGGACAGUGGGUGUGAAGCCAGGACCUAUCAACUCUAUGAUCUUCACUAAGCCGGUACCAAAUAGGAUGGCCCAGACUGGAGUACGGAGUGGAUUCUACAGAGGCAUUGUGGGUCCAUUACCAGAUCCCUGACCUGACAAGCCCCUUGUGGAAAGUGCCUUUGGGCUGGUGCAGGAGGGCAGUGUUCUGUCAUGUCAGCAGCCGGUUUUGACAACCCGGUACAUCACACUACACCGUGAUGCACCACCAACACCGCACUUGCCUCUGGAGUAUGGGUAUGACAUGAAGGAAACCCUGCUCGCUCAGACAGCCUGUGAUAUUUUCUCAAACCGCUGCGCUGAACCAGUUUCCAAAGAACAUGCUGUGUGACACAAUAAAUAUCCUUUAACCUGUUAACCUGUGGCUUCUGGAAGAAACUCGGGUGAGUCAGUCACUGCAAACACAUUUGUAUCAUCAAGUGUUUGUCAAAUGAAAAUGAUAUGUUUUUCUACACUUAGGAUAAUUUUCUAUGUUGCAGUGCAGUAAAGUGCACGUUUCUUCUGUGUUCAAUCAUACAUGUUCUAAUUGUUAUAAACAGAAAAAAUCUUUUCUUACUUAACUGCUUGAUUCUUAACUUGUUUAACUGAAACAUGAUGAAAUGUCAUAGUAUUAUUUUUUU